rnacentral:rRNA from 1 species
GAACGCUGGCGGCGCGCCUAACACAUGCAAGUCGAACGGUUAAAGCACCUUUUAGGUGUGUAUAAAGUGGCGAACGGCUGAGUAGCACGUGGGCAACCUGCCCUCCUCUUGGGGAUAGCCUCGGGAAACCGAGGAUAAUACCCGAUACUUCAAUGUGGCCGCAUGACGACAUUGAGAAAGCUUUUGCGGAGAAGGAUGGGCCCGCGGCCUGUUAGCUUGUUGGUGGGGUAGAGGUCUACCAAGGCAAUGAUGGGUAGCUGGGUUGAGAGACCGACCAGCCAGAUUGGGACUGAGACACGGCCCAGACUCCUACGGGAGGCAGCAGUGGGGAAUCUUGCACAAUGGGCGAAAGCCUGAUGCAGCGACGCCGCGUGCGGGACGAAGGCCUUCGGGUUGUAAACCGCUUUCAGCAGGGACGAGGCGAAAGUGACGGUACCUGCAGAAGAAGCCCCGGCUAACUACGUGCCAGCAGCCGCGGUAAUACGUAGGGGGCAAGCGUUAUCCGGAUUCAUUGGGCGUAAAGCGCUCGUAGGCGGUCUGUUAGGUCGGGAGUUAAAUCCGGAGGCUCAACCUCCGCCCGCUCCCGAUACCGGCAGACUUGAGUUUGGUAGGGGAAGGUGGAAUUCCUAGUGUAGCGGUGGAAUGCGCAGAUAUUAGGAAGAACACCAGUGGCGAAGGCGGCCUUCUGGGCCAUAACUGACGC